UAUAUAAACCCAGCUCAACUCUCAAAACUUCCCCAGAUUGUUCAGUCACCUCUGUGGUAAAGGUACAAACCUCCAGCCUGCUCUUGUUUCCAGUCAUGUUGGGAAGCAUCACACCUGAUCCCACACAGUUCCUGCAUCCUGUUCAUCGUCGAUACCUGUCCUCCGUGUGGACUACAGCCAAGACUCGCUCACCUGAUCAGCUCAUCCUGCUCUGCUCGCAAAUCUCUCUGAAUCCCCACUCCUAUUCCCGAGUAAUCUACUCCUCAAACAGUAAAAUCCAAACUCCCUGACCUCUGUUGAACACUAUCACAACCCAUUACAAUAAAAUCCUUGUUACCCAA